AGAGUUUGAUCCUGGCUCAGGACGAACGCUGGCGGCGUGCUUAACACAUGCAAGUCGAACGGAAAGGCCCUUCGGGGUACUCGAGUGGCGAACGGGUGAGUAACACGUGGGUGAUCUGCCCUGCACUUUGGGAUAAGCCUGGGAAACUGGGUCUAAUACCGAAUAUGACCAUGCACUUCCUGGUGUGUGGUGGAAAGCUUUUGCGGUGUGGGAUGGGCCCGCGGCCUAUCAGCUUGUUGGUGGGGUAAUGGCCUACCAAGGCGACGACGGGUAGCCGGCCUGAGAGGGUGACCGGCCACACUGGGACUGAGAUACGGCCCAUACUCCUACGGGAGGCAGCAGUGGGGAAUAUUGCACAAUGGGCGCAAGCCUGAUGCAGCGACGCCGCGUGAGGGAUGACGGCCUUCGGGUUGUAAACCUCUUUCAGCACAGACGAAGCGCAAGUGACGGUAUGUGCAGAAGAAGGACCGGCCAACUACGUGCCAGCAGCCGCGGUAAUACGUAGGGUCCGAGCGUUGUCCGGAAUUACUGGGCGUAAAGAGCUCGUAGGUGGUUUGUCGCGUUGUUCGUGAAAACUCACAGCCUAACUGUGGGCGUGCGGGCGAUACGGGCAGACUUGAGUACUGCAGGGGAGACUGGAAUUCCUGGUGUAGCGGUGGAAUGCGCAGAUAUCAGGAGGAACACCGGUGGCGAAGGCGGGUCUCUGGGCAGUAACUGACGCUGAGGAGCGAAAGCGCGGGGAGCAAACAGGAUUAGAUACCCUGGUAGUCCAA
rnacentral:rRNA from 1 species